rnacentral:snoRNA from 1 species
GGCCAGUGAUGAAAAUGAUUCUGCCAUAUGAGUAAACCUGAACACAACCUUAACCGUUCCACUCUUUCUGAGGCC